CGAAGCGUCUCGGUAAGACUCCGGCAACAGGUCCUCAUCCGGUUUCUGAUCCAGCUGGAAAUCGUUGUGAUUCCCAAAUCGACGAAGCCAGAAAGAAUUCGACAGAAUUUCCAGGUGUUCGACUUCAAGUUGAGUCCGGAAGACAUGUCCGCUCUAGACUCUCUGGACAAAGGCGAAAGUGGACGCAUAUUCAUCUUCGAGGAUGUGCUUAAAGGGAUAUCGAAACACCCGGAAUAUACUUUCCACAUCCCCGUGUGAAAGAAGAGGAACGCCAGAAGGAAGGAACAGUGAGAGCAAGGGGAGCAGUUCCAAAGGCAAAAUCCCUCCUCCUCUCCCCUACUACUGUUUUCGUUGCUCAGUUAUAAAAAGGAGGAAUAAAACAGGCAAGGGAGCCGUUUCAAGAGCAUAUCCCGCCUACUACUACUAUCAGUUGUGACGUAACUAAAUGUUCAAUGGUUCUUAAGGGUUUGAAAUAAAUGGUCGUGGGUUUAA